rnacentral:rRNA from 1 species
UACGUAGGGGGCGAGCGUUGUCCGGAAUUAUUGGGCGUAAAGAGCGUGUAGGCGGUUCGGUAAGUCUGCCGUGAAAACCUGGGGCUCAACCCCGGGCGUGCGGUGGAUACUGCCGGGCUAGAGGGUGGUAGAGGCGAGUGGAAUUCCCGGUGUAGCGGUGAAAUGCGCAGAUAUCGGGAGGAACACCAGUAGCGAAGGCGGCUCGCUGGGCCAUUCCUGACGCUGAGACGCGAAAAGCUAGGGGAGCGAACAGG